UGAGUAACCUGCCUUUCAGAGGGGAAUAACAUUCUGAAAAGGAUGCUAAUACCGCAUGACAUCGUAGUAUCGCAUGGUACAGCGAUCAAAGGAGCAAUCCGCUGAAAGAUGGACUCGCGUCCGAUUAGCUAGUUGGCGGGAUAAAGGCCCACCAAGGCGACGAUCGGUAGCCGGACUGAGAGGUUGAUCGGCCACAUUGGGACUGAGACACGGCCCAGACUCCUACGGGAGGCAGCAUG
rnacentral:rRNA from 1 species